rnacentral:rRNA from 1 species
GAUGAACGCUGGCGGCGUGCCUAAUACAUGCAAGUCGAGCGAACAGGCGAUGCGCUUGCUCCUCUGACGUUAGCGGCGUACGGGUGUGUCACGCGUGGAUACCCUCCCUAUAAUACUGGUAUCACUUCGGGACACCGGCGCUAAUCCCGGAUAAUCUCUUGCACCGCAUUGUUCAAUAGUGAAAGACGGUUUUGCUGUCACUUCUCGAUGGAUCCGCGCCUCAUUAGCUAGUUGGUAAGGUAACGGGGUACCAAGGCAACGAUGCGUAAACGACGGGAGAGGGUGAUCGGCCACACGGGAAGGGAGACACGGACAAGACGCCUAAGGGAGGGAGCAGAAGGGAACCUUCCGCAAUGGGCGAAAGUCUGACGGAGCAACGCCGCGUGAGAGAUGAAGGUGUUAGGAGCGUAAAAAUCUGUUAUGAGGGAAGAACAAAUGUGGAAGUAACUAUGCACGGCUUGACGGUACCUAAUCAGAAAGCCACGGCUAACUACGUG